rnacentral:lncRNA from 1 species
AUGGCAAUCCAUAGUUGUAACUUAGACGUUAUAGAGGGCAUUCCAGUAAAAAAGGAGGCUAAGUAUUUAGGGGUUAUGAUUACAAAUAAUGUUGUUAAUAGAGAACAUUCAAAUUUUAAUUCUAAAAUAGAAAGUAUGAAAAAAUCCUUAAAUCAUUGGUUAUCUCGAGACCUAUCUAUAUUGGGUAGAAUUCUCUUAACUAAAACUAAGGGAAUAUCCAAACUUAUUUACUUAUCUCAAGCCUUGUAUACUGCCCAGAGAGUAAUUAAAUCGGUGAAUUCAAUCUUAUUUAAGUUUAUUUGGAAAAAUAAAACGCAUUAUCUACGUAAAUUUCAUAUGGUAAAAGAGUAUGAACAUGGAGGUUUGAGAGCCAUUGACUUUGAAUCUCUUCUUGGUACAUUCAGAAUAAAAUGGUUGAAAGAGUGUUUAACAAAGUCUCACUCGAUAUGGUACCAUAUUCCUAACCACAUUUUAAAAAAAAUUGGCGGCAUUGAUUUUGUGUUGAGAUAUGAUCUCGACCCUUGUAAAAUUCCUCUGAAGGUAUCUAAUUUUCAUAAACAAGUACUGUUAUUUUGGAAAAUUAUGUUUACCCAUAACUUUUCCCCUCACAACUCCACUCUUUGGAACAAUAGGGUUGUAAUUAUUAAUAGAAAAUCUCUGUUUAAAAGUGAUUGGUAUAGCCAAGGUAUUUUUUUUAUUCAUGAUUUGUUAGAUGAGAAUGGCUUUUUCUUAUCUUAUAUUGAUUUAAUUAGUAAAUACAAAGUUAAAAUUACAUUAAAAGGUUAUAAUAAGGUAUGCAAUGCUAUACCUACUGGAUUGUUAAGAAAAAUCCAAAGUAGUUUUUCUGAUCUUUUAUCUAGACCAGUAGUUUCUCUUCCCUCUUUGAAAAUAUGUAAUGUUGACCUCUUAGACUAUAAGUAUAAUAACAAACUUAUUUAUAAAGAACUUAAACGUAUCAUCACUGGUGAUUAUAAAUGUUAUUUUCUGGGAGAUGUUGAAACCUCAGUAAGGGACAAAGCUUUUACCCGUUAUAUGGCUUACCCAGUUGCUCCAAAGGUCAAGGAGACUCAUUAUAAAAUUAUGUUUAGGAUAUAUCCAGUUAGAGACUUUAUACAAAAACGAUUUCAUUUCGAUGUGGAUCCUUGUGGUUUCUGCUUUUCAUUUCCUGAAACACUCGAUCACCUUUUCUUUUACUGUGAGGUUUCUUCUAAAUUUUGGUUUGAUAUACAUAGCUGGUUGUCAGUAAAAAUGGAGACAGUUUCUCCUACAACCCGGCAAGACGUGCUCUUUUUUAAAUGUGAUCUUACAUUGUUGGUUACCUGUCUUGUUAUGUAA